GCUUAAUUAAGCUGCUCGUCUUGUCUGGGAAUCCUGCGACCUAGAUAAAGACGUCAACUUAGCAGGGAACCGAGCUUAGCAAAGCUUUGAGCUAAGAACGGAAUCUAUGAAGCUACUGAAGCCUGAACCUUGUCAGUAGGGGUCAGGUUGAGGGAAUGUCAAAAUACUGACUGCACUCGGAGAAGCUCUUGUGGAAGUGUUUUCGGACGUGGGUUCGAUUCCCACCGCCUCCACCA
rnacentral:tmRNA from 1 species